UAAAGGUAUUUUUACCUAUAAUUUUUAUUUUAAUUUAUUUUUCAUGUAAAAUUUAUUAUGAAAAAUUUAAUUUUUAGAAAAAGAAUUACGUUGAUUUGCAGUAGUAAGAUUUGUUAAUUUAAGAAAUUAAGAUACAGUAAAUUUUAUAGUUUAAACAAAAUUUGUGCCAGCAGUUGCGGUUACACAAAUUAGGCAAUAAAAAUUUUUUAGUGAUAGUUAAUUGUAAAUUAAAAAUUUAUAGGAAGGCUUUUUAGGUGAAAUUUUAGGUCGUUAUAAAUUUGGGUUUGGUUAAUGAAACUAGGAAAAUUUCUUUGAAAACUAGGAUUAGAUACCCUAUUAUUGAAAAAGUGAGUUUUUAAACUGGGUUAUUAGUAGAUAUAUUCUUUAAAACUAGAAAAAAUGGCGGUAUUUUAGUCUAUUUAGAGGAACCUGUUCUGUAAACGAUGAUCCACGAUUUGAUUUAUUUUUUUUUUGAGUUUCCAUAUCGUUGUAGUUUGAGUAUUUUUGAAGAAUAAAUAUUCAUAAUUCUAAGGAGAAAGAUAUCAAAUCAAGAUGUAGCUUAUAAGAAAGUAGAAAUGGGUUACAAUAAAUUUAUUUAUAUGGAUAAAUUUUUUUAAAAAAAUUUUGAAGGUGGAUUUAAUAGUAAUUUUUUAUAAAUUUUAAAAAUGAUUUUAGCUCUAGAAUAUGUACAUAUCGCCCGUCGCUUUCGUUUUUAAAAUGAAAUAAGUCGUAACAAAGUAGAGGUACCGGAAGGUGUCUCUAGAAGUCA
rnacentral:ncRNA from 1 species